rnacentral:lncRNA from 1 species
UUGCUACCUGUACUCUUUGUGUAUCUGCCGAGCAAACCAAGAUUAGGGUUCAUGGGUUUUGGUGACCUUAGGUACAUUAUGGAGCUUGCACAGGGAGGAGCAGGUCGUUGUGGGAUAUGGAUCAUGAACGAUAUUUGAACUUAUAACUAUUUUGGAGUUUACACUACUAUGCUUCCGCUACUUAAACAAUGUUUGGUUUUGA